UGCGAUUUCGGUCAAAUCUUGAAGCAUUUUAGUGGCGGACGGGUGAGUAACGCGUGGGUAACCUGCCCUGUACAGGGGGACAACAGUUGGAAACGACUGCUAAUACCGCAUAAGCGCACAGCUUCGCAUGAAGCAGUGUGAAAAACUCCGGUGGUACAGGAUGGACCCGCGUCUGAUUAGAUAGUUGGUGAGGUAACGGCCCACCAAGUCAACGAUCAGUAGCCGGCCUGAGAGGGCGAACGGCCACAUUGGGACUGAGACACGGCCCAAACUCC
rnacentral:rRNA from 1 species